rnacentral:rRNA from 1 species
CCUACGGGGGGCUGCAGUGGGGAAUAUUGCACAAUGGGGGAAACCCUGAUGCAGCGACGCCGCGUGAGUGAAGAAGUAUUUCGGUAUGUAAAGCUCUAUCAGCAGGGAAGAAGAAAGACGGUACCUGACUACGAAGCCCCGGCAAACUACGUGCCAGAAGCCGCGGUAAUACGCGGGGGGCAAGCGUUAUCCGGAUUGACUGGGGGGGAAGGGAGCGUAGACGGCUGUGGAAGGCUGAAGUGAAAGCCCAGGGCUCAACCCUGGGACUGCUUUGGAAACUGUGGAGCUAGAGUGCUGGGGAGGUAAGUGGAAUUCCUGGUGUAGCGGUGAAAUGCGUGGAUAUUAGGAGGAACACCAGUGGCAAGGGCGGCUUACUGCACAGUAACUGACGUUGAGGCUCGAAAGCGUGGGGAGCAAACAGGAUUAGAUACCCCGUAGUC